UCCGCGUUUUCCAUUUGCACACCUUCAAAACAACGUUUAAGAUCCCGAAACAUUCGAGAAGCUUUUACUGUCGAGUUGAUUAACACGACGAAAACAUUAGAGGUCAUGUUUUGCUAUAAAAAUUGAUGUAAAAUCGUCUGAGAGACUGCAUAUUCUUAAAACAACACAAUUUGCUACGUUGUAACGGCAUUUUUCUGUUUGAUGUAUGAUAUCCGCAGACGUCUGAAUGUCAACAGGUUGUACAGCGUCACUCCUGCUAUACAUGGGAUCAGACACUUCAGUUGAUGUGAACACAUAGAUCUGUGAUGGCCAAUACUGAUUUUCAUUUGCAGUUUCAAGAAUUUGAAGAUGGUCAAGGAUUCACAGAAAAUAAUCAAGGUGCCACAACAGUGACCAUCGAUGACCCCAUCAAAUCUCGAAAACAACGAAAAGCUACUGGAACUGCUUUUGAAGAAGAGGACAGUGAUGACAAAACUGAGCUUCUGUCGGGUCAAAAAAAGAGUGUGCCCUUCUGGACGUUUGAGUACUACCAAACAUUAUUUGACGUGGACA